UUGGUUGGGAUUAUUCAUAUUGAAGAUGAUGAGCAAGGAAUUGCUCACAUGAUUGAACAUGUUGCUUUUCUUGGAAGUAAGAAACGCGAGAAACUUUUGGGAACCGGGGCACGAUCAAAUGCUUACACAGAUUUUCAUCAUACUGUGUUCCACAUCCAUUCACCCACUAGCACAAAGGGCUCAGAAGGCGAUUGUCUUCCAGUGGUCCUAGAUGCUCUGAAUGAGAUCGCUUUCCAUCCUAAGUUUCUCGCUUCGCGAGUUGAGAAAGAAAGACGUGCAAUACUGUCAGAGCUACAAAUGAUGAAUACUAUAGAAUACCGUGUCGAUUGCCAGUUGUUACAACACUUGCAUUCUGAGAACAAGCUGAGCAAAAGAUUCCCAAUCGGGCUGGAAGAGCAGAUCAAGAAAUGGGAUGCUGAUAAAAUCAGAAAAUUUCAUGAACGUUGGUACUUUCCAGCAAAUUCCACCUUAUACAUUGUGGGAGAUAUAGAUAAUAUUCCACAGACCAUUUACCAUAUUGAAGAUGUUUUUGGGCAAACGGAAAUGGAUAAUGAGUCUAAUUCAGCACCAAGUCCAAGUGCUUUUGGUGCAAUGGCUAGUUUUUUAGUUCCCAAGCUGACAGUUGGACUCUCAAGCAAUUCCACGCAUGACAGGUCAUCUGUUUCCUUGGAUCAGUCCAAAGCAUUGCGGAGGGAGAGGCAUGCAGUGCGGCCUCCAGUUCAG
rnacentral:misc_RNA from 1 species